rnacentral:rRNA from 1 species
UAGGGAAUCUUCCGCAAUGGACGCAAGUCUGACGGAGCAACGCCGCGUUAGUGAAGAAGGAUUUCGGUUCGUAAAACUCUGUUGUUAGAGAAGAACAGCGCAUAGAGUAACUGUUAUGCGUGUGACGGUAUCUAACCAGAAAGCCACGGCUAACUACGUGCCAGCAGCCGCGGUAAUACGUAGGUGGCAAGCGUUGUCCGGAUUUAUUGGGCGUAAAGCGAGCGCAGGCGGUCAAUUAAGUCUGAUGUGAAAGCCCCCGGCUCAACCGGGGAGGGUCAUUGGAAACUGGUUGACUUGAGUGCAGAAGAGGAGAGUGGAAUUCCAUAUGUAGCGGUGAAAUGCGUAGAUAUAUGGAGGAACACCAGUGGCGAAGGCGACUCUCUGGUCUGUAACUGACGCUGAGGUUCGAAAGCGUGGGUAGCAAACAGG